CGGGUGAGUAACACGUGGAUAACCUACCUAUAAGACUGGGAUAACUUCGGGAAACCGGAGCUAAUACCGGAUAAUAUAUUGAACCGCAUGGUUCAAUAGUGAAAGACAGUUUUGCUGUCACUUAUAGAUGGAUCCGCGCCGCAUUAGCUAGUUGGUAAGGUAACGGCUUACCAAGGCAACGAUGCGUAGCCGACCUGAGAGGGUGAUCGGCCACACUGGAACUGAGACACGGUCCAG
rnacentral:rRNA from 1 species